rnacentral:rRNA from 1 species
AUUGAACGCUGGCGACAGGCCUAACACAUGCAAGUCGAGCGGAUGAAGGGAGCUUGCUCCUGGAUUCAGCGGCGGACGGGUGAGUAAUGCCUAGGAAUCUGCCUGGUAGUGGGGGAUAACGUCCGGAAACGGGCGCUAAUACCGCAUACGUCCUGAGGGAGAAAGUGGGGGAUCUUCGGACCUCACGCUAUCAGAUGAGCCUAGGUCGGAUUAGCUAGUUGGUGGGGUAAAGGCCUACCAAGGCGACGAUCCGUAACUGGUCUGAGAGGAUGAUCAGUCACACUGGAACUGAGACACGGUCCAGACUCCUACGGGAGGCAGCAGUGGGGAAUAUUGGACAAUGGGCGAAAGCCCGAUCCAGCCAUGCCGCGUGUGUGAAGAAGGUCUUCGGAUUGUAAAGCACUUUAAGUUGGGAGGAAGGGCAGUAAGUUAAUACCUUGCUGUUUUGACGUUACCAACAGAAUAAGCACCGGCUAACUUCGUG